rnacentral:rRNA from 1 species
UGGCUCAGAUUGAACGCUGGCGGCAGGCUUAACACAUGCAAGUCGAGCGGGGGAAGGUAGCUUGCUACUGGACCUAGCGGCGGACGGGUGAGUAAUGCUUAGGAAUCUGCCUAUUAGUGGGGGACAACAUCUCGAAAGGGAUGCUAAUACCGCAUACGUCCUACGGGAGAAAGCAGGGGAUCUUCGGACCUUGCGCUAAUAGAUGAGCCUAAGUCGGAUUAGCUAGUUGGUGGGGUAAAGGCCUACCAAGGCGACGAUCUGUAGCGGGUCUGAGAGGAUGAUCCGCCACACUGGGACUGAGACACGGCCCAGACUCCUACGGGAGGCAGCAGUGGGGAAUAUUGGACAAUGGGGGGAACCCUGAUCCAGCCAUGCCGCGUGUGUGAAGAAGGCCUUAUGGUUGUAAAGCACUUUAAGCGAGGAGGAGGCUACUUUAGUUAAUACCUAGAGAUAGUGGACGUUACUCGCAGAAUAAGCACCGGCUAACUCUGUGCCAGCAGCCGCGGUAAUACAGAGGGUGCGAGCGUUAAUCGGAUUUACUGGGCGUAAAGCGUGCGUAGGCGGCUUAUUAAGUCGGAUGUGAAAUCCCCGAGCUUAACUUGGGAAUUGCAUUCGAUACUGGUGAGCUAGAGUAUGGGAGAGGAUGGUAGAAUUCCAGGUGUAGCGGUGAAAUGCGUAGAGAUCUGGAGGAAUACCGAUGGCGAAGGCAGCCAUCUGGCCUAAUACUGACGCUGAGGUACGAAAGCAUGGGGAGCAAACAGGAUUAGAUACCCUGGUAGUCCAUGCCGUAAACGAUGUCUACUAGCCGUUGGGGCCUUUGAGGCUUUAGUGGCGCAGCUAACGCGAUAAGUAGACCGCCUGGGGAGUACGGUCGCAAGACUAAAACUCAAAUGAAUUGACGGGGGCCCGCACAAGCGGUGGAGCAUGUGGUUUAAUUCGAUGCAACGCGAAGAACCUUACCUGGCCUUGACAUA